rnacentral:rRNA from 1 species
GACGAACGCUGGCGGCGUGCUUAACACAUGCAAGUCGAACGAUGAAGCCGGAGCUUGCUCUGGUGAAUUAGUGGCGAACGGGUGAGUAACACGUGAGUAACCUGCCCUUGAUUCUGGGAUAACUGCUAGAAAUGGUAGCUAAUACCGGAUACGACCCUCGGAGGCAUCUUCAGGGGGUGGAAAGAAUUUCGGUCAAGGAUGGACUCGCGGCCUAUCAGCUAGUUGGCGAGGUAACGGCUCACCAAGGCGACGACGGGUAGCCGGCCUGAGAGGGUGACUGGCCACACUGGGACUGAGACACGGCCCAGACUCCUACGGGAGGCAGCAGUGGGGAAUAUUGCACAAUGGGCGCAAGCCUGAUGCAGCAACGCCGCGUGAGGGAUGACGGCCUUCGGGUUGUAAACCUCUUUUAGUAGGGAAGAAGCGAAAGUGACGGUACCUGCAGAAAAAGCACCGGCUAACUACGUGCCAGCCGCCGCAGUAA